GAGUUGGCCUGCCUCGGGCAUGGGAAAGCAUUGGCCAGAAGGACUGCCAGAACUGCUCCUGAAUGCUGUGAACCGAGCAUAUACUCAAGUUCAAGAUGAUGAUGGAGAAAAAAUGGUGGAAUGACCUUCUAAAGGCCGCAGAAGGAGUUGAAACUGAGAUGAGAUCAAGGAGCUCCUGACUACCCUGCCCCCAGGGAAAACAUCAGAUUGUUCCGCAUCUCUCUUCUGCAACCAGUACACUGACAAAGGCCUUUUGCCACACUCACAUAAGCAUGUCUACGAGAUGGAUUUUUAUGGCUGCAGUGGAAUUUGGGAGAUGGCUGGGACACUUUUUUUGGUUUCCAGCAAUCCCAUAUCGUACUUCCUUCAUGUGCUUCUCUCUCUCUCUUCUGCCUCUAUGCAUUUUUCAAUAAACAGGCAAAAUGACCCACGAGCAAGGCUGUAAGGUACAGCACAGAGCCAGUGAAAUCAUAUGCCUGCUGUGCUUGUAUAGUUAGCAGCAAGUGUAUAUAACACAGCCCUGCCCUUCCUCUCCAAUGAAAGUGGCUCACCACCAGGUACACAGCUUUGUUCCACUUGAUUGGCUAUAACAAACUCAACUCCUUUGAAAGUAAUGGAAUUACACUGCCAGCACAGUUCACUGAUCUGCCUCAUUUUGGAAAAUUCAUCUCUCUUAAUGUCUCAGCCACAGUGAAGCACAGCAGCACUCACUAAGCUGUGGGAGCUCAGCACUGCAACCAUACAGUCCCAAAUCUCAACCAUGCCCUGAAAGCAUCAAAUGCUCACAUUGGCACGAUAAGACCAAGGACCCACUCUGCAGUCCAAGUGUUUCACUGAGAAUAAAGGGGAAUGCAACGGUUUAUUUGGCCAAAAGCCACCUAAAUUUUAGAAAUGCGCCUGUUUAAAAAUCCAACUGGAAAUUCACCAAGUUCACCUUCUUGUAUCAGAGUUCAGCUAUUUAUAUCACAGAGUUCACAACCAGAUACCACCAAAUAGGGCUAACUACUAUACCUACUUGAAACAGCCAAACAUCUAUAUCCUCUGAUAAAAUGCAUGAUUUCAGAGAAGCUCAAUUUUUAACAGGAAUGCUGCUCUAACACACACUGAGAAAUUCAUCUGGCUGCCAAGCAGCUAGGGAUGUCCUCUGCCACGUCUCACGCAGUAUGUGUGCAUUAGGAAAAGAGUCAUAUUUAGCACACUACAAUUUACCUGCAUGAUUAACCAUUGACGGUGUUUUGGAUGGGUAAUGAGAUUAUAUUGGGUUUAUGUACAAUUUCCUAAGUAGGCUGACUGAUAGAUUGAUCAAGGGUAGAUGGGAUCUGACAGCAGAAUAUUAUGGCAGAAUUCUUUCGGUGAUGGAUGAGCCCACCUUGACACAAACUCCAAAGCUUCGCCUCUUAGUAAUAAAUCUCAGCGUGAAGUCAUCUGUCUCUGACCUGAAGCUUGAUAUCAGCAACUCGAGAUACUGAAGUUUCAUCCUCUUUAUGAACAUUUAAGUUGCCUCAAUGGCAUAAAUACACACCUCCCACAUUCAAUCUCUUUAAUAGUGGCAGGCCUUACGUUGAUUUUUGUUUUGUUUUGUUUUACAAAAGGUGGGGAUCACAACUGAUUCUUUUUCUAGCCAAGGAUAUCACUGCUAAUAGAUUAUGUUCCGCAUGAUGCUUAAUGAGCCAUGAUUGGGAUAGGUGAUGGGAAAUGGCACUUUGGAUUGAUUUAGAAAGGAUUCAGUGGAGGCAGUGCACAACUCCACAAAUAGCAGCAGGUCUUACGUGGUGCCAUAGAACCGGAAUCUCAAGUAAAACCUUCAAAAUGCCUUGCUGACAUGGGAGUUUAACUCCCAUUUUCAAAGGCUGUUUAAAGCCAGAGUCUGAAAAAUACAGCAAGUAGCAGAAAUGCUGAGUCACAGCCUGAAGUAGUGAUUGAGCACCUGGUAGGAAGGCAAGGCCAGCCCAGGGGAGCUCAGGUGCAUGCAAUGCAAGGUAAUGCAAUGCAGAUGAGUGACCGGAAGGACCAGAGCCAGGAUCCACCCCUUACCAGCCCUCAUUUAAGGGUUGGCAGUGGAGGUAGGAGUAUCUUUCUGAUAAUCUCUGUUUACCUCAGGCCUUCUAAAGGUAAGCAGCUUCUUUUUGUUUUUUGUUUUCUUACUUUCCUUUUUGUAUCCACAGAUGAUGUAUUUGUGCUCAGAAUUUGCCCAGAACUUGAUCCUAGGUGACUAAAGAUACUGUUGGUCUGUUUCUUUGAGGGAUUUAAGCAUCUAAUUCUUAUCAGUUUCAGUGAGAUCCAUGUGUGUGGGUCCUCAGAUCAUGUUUACUUCCAUUCAUAAUGUAAAAAUGUGGGGUUGUGUAAUAGCAGCCCUCCAAGCCCUGCAUUGGUAGAUGUUCUGGGUACCCACUACAGCUCACUGGGCUAAGUAAUGAAUUCAGGUGACCUGCCUUGAUGGAUUUCUUGAUCUGUGAGAACCAGAAAACAGGGGAGCUAUGAGAUUGUUCUAGAGUAUUCUGAGAUCACAGCAAUCUGAUAUUUAAGAAGGUAAAUGUAUUACUAACAGGCCUGAAUAAAGACUUCAGAAGACAGAUGAACCCACCUGAGUUUUGAGAGUUUGAGAAGUCAGAUUCUUAACACCUAUUCAGUUCUGCUUUGGGUGUUGCUCCUCUUUACAUAAGAGGGAGGAGAUUACCAGGAGAUUGUUGUAACUGACAGCUUUUUUUUCCUGCUUAACUUUCUUCUCCCCAUCUUCUGGCUUUAGGAUGGCUGAUAACACACUGAUGUCUUGGCCAAAGAGAAAAAUCAACUUGGAGGACAAAAUUCACCUCUUGACUAACUCCAGUAGACCUAAGUGCACUCUGAGAUUUUAUUCUUGCUAAUAUCAAAGUCUAGAAGCUGACACAGCUGUAUUAUUGUCAACUCCUGUAGUGAGGCUGCGAAAGUAGGAAUAACAGUUAAGAUAGCCUCGUGUGAAUAAUUCAUAGGGAAUAAUUUAUUUGAUGAAUUGACCUUUCCCCCCCUCCCUUUUCCAUGGUCCUAUCCUCAAGCAGCCUCUGAUUUUUCUCUCUUCUAUUGUUACUCAAAUUGAAAAUAUCUGCUGAAUAAUUUCUGAGGAUAAUUCUUGUUCUGCAAAUUUGUCCCUGAGCAGUUUGCUGUGAACAUUUGGUAUCUGAAAUUCCAGUGCUUGCCAGACACAGAUCUCACGUUGUUAUUCCCAUUCUUUGCAUGAAGGGGACAUGUAUUUGAAACAGUACAUUUUUCCGCUCUAACUAUUGGCAGUUAGGAGUCCUUUAAUGUAGCAUUAAGCUUUGGCAAGGUGCAUAUUUGAUUAUAAGUACAGAUUUGUGUCAGAUAAAUAACACGUUUAAGGGGGGGAAAUAAGGCCUUUUUCAGGGAUUUUCUUAUCACCCCACAGGUGCCUCCUACUUGGAGCUUAGCUGCCCUAUAAGAGCUCAAGAAAGCCAUGAGUCAAGGGAAGCAAAUUCUGGUUUAAAGUAGAACAAGCCAAACUCUGUCACCCUCCUCAGCAGCCCAUGGCUGAGUAGAACCUCCACCUCACCUGGAGCCAGCCCAAGUCUUCAUGACUUACCCAGC